UUGCAAGUCAGUCUUACUUUACAGCAAAAAAUAUGGAUGCACUCCCAGCAGAGAACAAGACGCAGCUCUACUCUGAACUAUUCUACACUUUGAGAUAUAACCCAGUAAUGUGACAAAUCAUAAAUCCUGCUUCACAUGGACAGGAGCAUGAACUCAUUGAUUUCAGGGUGACUUGAUUACAGGUGUGUAAUGUUGCAUGUGUUAACACCUAGC
rnacentral:lncRNA from 1 species